GACAAUUGACAAUACCUAGUCUGUGUGAUCUACCAAAUGUCAGUGGCGCGACUGUUUCGUGGCAGUAAGUGAAUUCUUUAGUCACUUGAGUUUCGAACGUCACCUGCGCUGGAUGUGCGCACUGACUGUGCUUAAAUAUUAAGUUAUAAUGUCGGACGACGGUAGUAACACCAAUUUUGACAAUUAUUAAUCGCGUUGAAUCUGCGACAUCAGAAGUGGGAUCGCUCCCAAACUCAUCCUGAAUCCUGAAUCUGCGACAUAUAUAUAUAAAAGAAGAUUGGCGGAGCAGGCGAUAUUGCAAGGUGUGCAGACAAAAGGUGGACCGCCAGAAAAAGGAGACGUGGGAAGACCACAAAAGCGAUGGCCUGACGACAUCAUAAAUAUUUCUGGGGAAAAUUGGACUGAGGAAUAAGAUCAGACCUAAAUGAGAAGCUAUUUGAUAAUUUUUGUAGUAUUGAAUUAAAGUGGCUUUAUUAUUA